rnacentral:lncRNA from 1 species
UGGCUCCCAACUGAGGCAUUCAAGAGAAAACUCACUGAAAUAUUUGAAGCCACUGCCAUGAACAAGAAUGCUCUUCAUGUGUGCCCGGAUGUACAUCUGUUAUGCCCAUACCGUUUGUUCCCCAAAGAAGACCACCAGAGUCCAGAGUCAAAGCCAAGCGGCAAGGAUCUUUUACUGCAAGUUCGAACUUGGUCCCUCCAUUCCACAGCAGAUAAGAGGGCCUCGAACAAUGCGUGUGCUCGCUUUUUAUAGCCCGAUGUAAACAGGACUUGUAAGGUUACAGAGGAACAAGGGAAUUCUUUAGGUUACAGCAUUAUAAUUGGUUAACAUAUUAAGUUAUACAUUUAGCAGUUUUCUAUUGGUUCCCGCGCUUUCAGUAAAACCACAAACGGCUGUGUCCUUAUCAGAGAUUUUUCCAGGUGGUGUUUUUUUUUUUUAAAGUUGAAAUGUACGGUGGGACGUGUUUGUACUGGGCCCAGGAAAUUGAGAGAUAUAUGGUGUUUGUAUUGAGCCCAGGAAAUUGAGAGAUAUAUGGUGUUUGUAUUGAGCCCAGGACUGAGGAAUGUGCCUGAUUCCUUUCACAUCCAGAGUGUUAUCUUGUUAGUUGUAUAUGCCAGCAUCCGGCAGGAGCUUUUACCUUUUUUGGGUGUCAACUUUGAGAUUCUGAUGACCCACUCUGACCUUCCAGGAGCUGCUCCUUCCACAGCCUGUGAUCCUGAGGGUCAGCACGUCCAGCCAGGCCAAGUAACGAGAUCAGUCCUCUCCUCUGCCCCAGUUCAUGGAUGGACACAGGAUGCAGGUGGUGGGGGUAGUCCACUCGGUUCCUGCUAAUCCCACUGGAUCAUCAGGUGGAGAGAGUCAGCUUGCAUAGUGAAACCAAAGAGAGCUGUGAGAUGGCGAGUGAGAGUGAGAAACCAAGAGAGUGAGACACACACACACACACACACACACAGAGAGAGAGAGAGAGAGAGAGGGAGAGUGAGAGAGACAGAGAGAGAGAGACAGAAAAAGUCAGAGAAGCAGGGACACAGAGAGACAUAGAAAGAUGGAGAAAGAGAUGAGGGGAAGAGAGAAACAGAGACACACAGAGUCUUAAAAAGAGACAGAAAGAGAGAGAGCAACCAGGAGAGAGACACAGAGAGGGAGAAACAGAGACAGACAAAGUGAGAGGCAGAGAGAGAUGGAAAGAGAGAUGGGGAGAGGGACAGAAAGAGAGAAGCAAAAGCACAACAUUCCUUGAAUUGCUUCCCCCUGAAGUCACCAUUCUAUUUCUGCACUUCCAGUCACCACCAAGAAUCUUUCUAAGUCACCUGUCCUCCUUCCUUCCCCAUCUUCCUCAUGCACUCUUACUAAAGCCUCCUGAAAUCUGCUUUCCCAAUGACAACUCCUCCUUGAAAGGUCACCACUGACUUCCAAACAACCAGCAAAUAAAAAAGGUUUUUAAAACA